UACAGAGGGGGCAAGCGUUAUUCGGAAUUAUUGGGCGUAAAGGGCGCGUAGGCGGCCUGACAAGUGGAAGGUGAAAUCCCUCGGCUUAACCGAGGAACUGCCCUCCAAACUGUCUGGCUUGAGACCGGGAGAGGUGAGUGGAAUUCCCAGUGUAGCGGUGAAAUGCGUAGAUAUUGGGAGGAACACCAGUGGCGAAGGCGGCUCACUGGACCGGUACUGACGCUGAGGCGCGAAAGCGUGGGGAGCAAACGGGG
rnacentral:rRNA from 1 species